rnacentral:rRNA from 1 species
GACGAACGCUGGCGGCGUGCUUAACACAUGCAAGUCGAACGGAAAGGCCCUGCUUUUGUGGGGUGCUCGAGUGGCGAACGGGUGAGUAACACGUGAGUAACCUGCCCUUGACUUUGGGAUAACUUCAGGAAACUGGGGCUAAUACCGGAUAGGAGCUCCUGCUGCAUGGUGGGGGUUGGAAAGUUUCGGCGGGUGGGGAUGGACUCGCGGCUUAUCAGCUUGUUGGUGGGGUAGUGGCUUACCAAGGCUUUGACGGGUAGCCGGCCUGAGAGGGUGACCGGCCACAUUGGGACUGAGAUACGGCCCAGACUCCUACGGGAGGCAGCAGUGGGGAAUAUUGCACAAUGGGCGGAAGCCUGAUGCAGCAACGCCGCGUGCGGGAUGACGGCCUUCGGGUUGUAAACCGCUUUCGCCUGUGACGAAGCGGGAGUGACGGUAAUGGGUAAAGAAGCACCGGCUAACUACGUG